AGAAAUUGGUUGAGGAAAGUACAACAAAAAUUAAGAAACAAAGAAAAACUCCAAAUAAUCUAUAAGAUCAUACAACACAUAAAUAUAAAUCAUAAAGUGACUUGCCAAUAUGUGUUGCAUCUCGGUGAAUCACAUUGAAACCUUAUCAAUCAUAACUAAAACUAAAUGUUUUAAAUGCCAAGAAACAUUUUCCAUCAAUUAUUAUAACUUAGCCAUAAUAACCUUUCAUGAUAAAAGAUAAUUUUCCCAUAAAUUUUCUAUCACUUCCUGCACAUUAGAAUUUCAAUG
rnacentral:misc_RNA from 1 species